UACAGAGGUGCCAAGCGUUAGGCGGAAUCACUGGGCUUAAAGCGCGCGUAGGCGGAUGUUUAAGUGUCUUGUGAAAUCCCACGGCUCAACCGUGGAACUGCUGGGCAUACUGGACAUCUCGAGGCACUCAGGGGCGAGCGGAACAAGUGGUGGAGCGGUGAAAUGCGUAGAUAUCAGGAAGAACACCCGUGGCGAAGGCGGUUCUCUGGGACGGUACUGACGCUGAGACGCGAAAGCGUGGGGAGCGAACAGG
rnacentral:rRNA from 1 species